rnacentral:misc_RNA from 1 species
GUAACAGAGAUUAUUCUGGUUCAUGGCCGUCUUGAAGAAGCACCACAAAUGACUGACUAUUAUAACGUCUCUAUAAGAAAGAAAAAUAAACAAAAUUCAACUUCUGGUAGCGAUAUGUUGGAAGAAGCGACGGAAGAACGAACUUCAUCUGUGGAUUUGUCAACUGACUCAUCUUUAGUCAUUGAUAUAUCUGAUGCACUAAGUGAGAAAGACAAAGUUAAAUUCACAGUUCACACCAAGACAACUUUACCGGAGUUCAAAAGUAGUGACUUCUCUGUUGUACGAGGCCAUGAAGAGUUUGUCUGGCUCCAUGACAGAUACGAGGAGAAUGAUGAAUAUGCAGGGAUAAUUAUCCCUCCUGCACCACCACGACCUGAUUUUGAUGCAUCGAGAGAAAAACUUCAACGAUUAGGAGAUGGUGAAGGGACCAUGACAAAAGAAGAAUUCUCCAAAAUGAAAGCUGAACUGGAAGCGGAAUAUCUAGCAACAUUCAAAAAGACAGUUGCAAUGCAUGAGGUGUUCCUAUGCAGACUUGCUGCUCAUCCAAAACUGAGAAAAGAUGAAAACUUUAAAGUGUUUUUGGAGUACAAACAAGAGUUGAGUGUUAGGGGCAAAAACAAGAAAGAGAAACUUGGUGGAUUCAUCAAAGGUUUUGCUAAAGGGGUGGAUGAAGUUUUACUUUCAAGUCAGAAGGAUGCUGAUGAGUUCUUUGAAGGGGAGAAGAAAUUUUUGGUUGAAUACCAUAGCAAGCUUCGAGAAUCAACAAAGCAAUCAGACAGAAUGACAAGAUCUCACAAAGGGGUUGCUGAUUGCUAUAUCAAAAUAUCAACCUGUGUCACUGCCUUAGCAACAAGUGAAGCAACUGAUUUUGAGAAAUUCUUAAAUAAAGUUAGUGACACUUUUGAAAAAGUUCGGAAAUUGGAAGGUCGUGUGGCGUCAGAUGAGGAUCUUAAGUUAUCAGAUCUGCUUCGGUAUUACAUGCGAGACACAGAUGCAGCCAAGGCAUUGUUGUACAGGAGGGCAAAAUGUUUGUCAGAGUUCGAUAAUGCUAAUAAGGCUUUGGAUAAAGCUAGGGCAAAGAAUAAGGAUAUUCCCAGUGCGGAAGCAGCACAGCAAAAAGCCAGUGAAAAAUUUGAACGUAUUUCUGAAGAAGCAAAGAAAGAAAUUGAAGAUUUCAAAGUACGCCGUGUUCAGCAAUACAAAAAGAAUCUUGUUGAAUUGACUGAACUUGAAAUCAAACAUGCAAAGGCGCAAAUCCAAUUGCUAAAAAACGCGUUGACAUCACUGAAAGACUUGUGAACAGCAGCAAGAUAAGGAACUCUGAUAAGAAAUUUAAUUUUAAUUGAAGUAUAGAUAGUGUGAAAACAUUGAUCCAAUGAAUGUAUAAUAUGACUAUUGACUAACAAAAUUGAAAAGUUGAAAUGGGACCCGCAUAAUUGUGAAGUGUCAUUCAAAAGUUGAAUGAAAUCUUUGUUACUAUCCAUGCAAUUGGACAAAACUUAAUCUUCUGACUUUAGAAGCAAAUUUAUGAAUAAAUGAAAAUUGCGAAUGAAACGCUAUUUUUUGCAAGUGGAAACGUAUAGUAUAAAAUUUCCAAAUAUAAGCAAAAAUUUUUACUAUUACAAAAAGAAGCCCCCGAAGUUUUUAGAAAUUUAGGCGAUAUUUAGGAGAGCAAUAGUAUUCGUGACAUUUUAUUGUUAGCGAGAGAAAAAAAAGUCUCGUUUGCAAGAUUAUAACAAGUUUAAUCCGAUAUUGUUGUUUUGAUGUUGUCAUGUUGCCAAAAAUAGCAACAUGGAUUUCCCCUUUCUUAUGUUUUCUUGGAAGAAAUGACAAGAAUUCGUUUGAAAAACUUCGCAACAGAAGAUUUGCUGUAGAAAAAGAAAGAAAUUAUAUUCUAGUUUUCCGGAGAAUAUGUAAUCAGAAUAUAUCUGAUUUUCAACUAUCAAAUGGGAGGUUGGUAGUUCAAGAUCAUGUUAAAGAACCCAAGUCAGGAUAUAGUUGUUGGUACUUGAUAUGGCUGCGA